ensembl:snoRNA small nucleolar RNA ACA64
ACAGACUGAAAAUGAUCCCUGGUUUCUCAGUGAUUUGGGAUCAGACAACUGUGCCCACAGUAAUGUGGUACGUUUAGCUUAUUGCGAGUGCUUCUGUGUCUGCGCAAUAAAACCCAUGUACCAACAGCC